UGCCCAGCAACUCCUAUCCCUACCUCCUCGCGGUACCGGCCGGAAACUAUGAGCAACCUUAGGGAAGAUCGGGUUACCAAUCCCGGUGGGAACUUUGGUCGUAGGCUGACAGGGAAGG
rnacentral:ribozyme from 1 species